rnacentral:pre_miRNA from 1 species
UAGUUUUGCACUAAAUCAAACUUCUCUUACGUUGGCUAAGUUCAUAACCAAGUAUAUUGACAUCUACAAUACCAAAUAAAUCAACUCUCAAAACAUUUCAUGGUGGAUUUGAUGAAACUAAUUUGACGAUAUAGAUGUUGGUGUGUUUUGCUAUAAGGGUGGUCAAACAUAGAGAAGUUUGACUUAGUACAAACUAAA